CCUACGGGGGGCAGCAGUGGGGAAUAUUGGACAAUGGGGGGAACCCUGAUCCAGCCAUGCCGCGUGUGUGAAGAAGGCCCUCGGGUUGUAAAGCACUUUCAGUGAGGAAGAACGCCUGGUGGUUAAUACCCAUCAGGAAAGACAUCACUCACAGAAGAAGCACCGGCUAACUCCGUGCCAGCAGCCGCGGUAAUACGGAGGGUGCGAGCGUUAAUCGGAAUUACUGGGCGUAAAGCGCGCGUAGGUGGCUUGAUAAGCCGGUUGUGAAAGCCCCGGGCUCAACCUGGGAACGGCAUCCGGAACUGGCAAGCUAGAGUGCAGGAGAGGAAGGUAGAAUUCCCCGUUGAGCGGUGAAAUGCGUUGAAGUCGGGAGGAAUAACAGUGGCGAAGGCGGCCUUCUGGACUGACACUGACACUGAGGUGCGAAAGCGUGGGUAGCAAACAGGAUUAGAUACCCCAGUAGUC
rnacentral:rRNA from 1 species